CAGCAGUCUUUGAUGCUUCCCCUGCUUUCUGGCAUAAGAUAGCUCAGGUUCAACAUGACAUUUACUGCCCAAGAGCUGGAAUCAGCCACUUCUCCAAAGAGACCUGGUUUUUAGUGGGCAAUGGUAUUAGGAAGCAUAAUCUGAGUGCUAAGGAUGCUAAUUGCUACUGAGGUGUCAUUGCUUCAAAGACCUUUUCAGUGGACAGAAUUAGGAAAUACUUCUUAAAAAAAAUAAUGAAUUCAAAGUACUAUUUCCAAUUCAAAUUUAAUGCAUGUUUUGACUUGAAUUUUACACUUGUAUCUUGUUUUGGUCUUAGGUUGAAAAUCUUGGUUUCUACUGACACUAACAUCAUAACUUUAAAACGUGAUAUUUUAUAAUACCAAUUUCAAAACAAUAUUAUUUUUAUUAUAAAGUUUUACUUUUUUUGCAGUUCUCCUUAUCUUCAGGAUGUAUCACCUUCUGGAGAUGUAAAGUCAAAAUAUUGUAUUUGAACAACACUUAUAAUCAUUUCCUUUCUGUGGUUAUAAAAUCAACUUGACAUGUACUCGAGUUAUUUGUUUCAGCUUGUUUUCAAGUUUUAGGAAUUUCUUCUUUUCUUUAUAUAAUCACCAUAUAGUCAUACAUACAGACACACGAAAUCUUCAUUCCUUUGUAUAGAUUCAUGGUAUACCUUUGUGUAAAUGCAUCAUUGUUUAUUUAACUACUGUCCUAUUCGUAGACAUAUAGAGCCCGUCUUAUUUUAAUUACAUCCAACAAUGUACCUAUCAAGUGAUCUACAGAAAAAGAAAAUGUAAAUUUUAAAGUCCUUUGGGCUACUUCAACACUUUAUUUAUUCUUUAUUCACUAAAAAUUCAUUCAUUCAGUGAAAAAGCAUUUAUUGAAUACCAAUUAUGUGUUAACCACUGUCCUAAGAGCUGCAGAUACAGGAAUAAUGUGGUGUCUGCCCAGAGAGGUGUCAGCCCAGAGAGCUUU
rnacentral:lncRNA from 1 species